rnacentral:rRNA from 1 species
AUACGUAGGGAGCAAGCGUUGUCCGGAAUUACUGGGUGUAAAGGGAGCGUAGGCGGGACGGCAAGUCAGAUGUGAAAUUUAUGGGCUCAACUCAUAACCUGCAUUUGAAACUGCUGUUCUUGAGUGAAGUAGAGGUAAGCGGAAUUCCUGGUGUAGCGGUGAAAUGCGUAGAUAUCAGGAGGAACAUCGGUGGCGAAGGCGGCUUACUGGGCUUUUACUGACGCUGAGGCUCGAAAGCGUGGGGAGCAAACAGGAUUAGAUACCCUGGUAGUCCACGCUGUAAACGAUGAUUACUAGGUGUGGGGGGACUGACCCCUUCCGUGCCGCAGUUAACACAAUAAGUAAUCCACCUGGGGAGUACGACCGCAAGGUUGAA